rnacentral:rRNA from 1 species
UCAUGACUGGGGUGAAGUCGUAACAAGGUUUCCGUAGGUGAACCUGCAGAAGGAUCA